rnacentral:rRNA from 1 species
AACGAACGCUGGCGGCAUGCCUAACACAUGCAAGUCGAACGAGACCUUCGGGUCUAGUGGCGCACGGGUGCGUAACGCGUGGGAACCUGCCCUUAGGUUCGGAAUAACUCCCCGAAAGGGGUGCUAAUACCGGAUAAUGUCUUCGGACCAAAGAUUUAUCGCCUUUGGAUGGGCCCGCGUUGGAUUAGCUAGUUGGUAGGGUAAAAGCCUACCAAGGCGACGAUCCAUAGCUGGUCUGAGAGGAUGAUCAGCCACACUGGGACUGAGACACGGCCCAGACUCCUACGGGAGGCAGCAGUGGGGAAUAUUGGACAAUGGGCGAAAGCCUGAUCCAGCAAUGCCGCGGGAGUGAUGAAGGCCUUAGGGUUGUAAAGCUCUUUUACCCGGGAUGAUAAUGACAGGACCGGGAGAAUAAGCUCCGGCUAACUCCGU